rnacentral:rRNA from 1 species
UACGGGGGGGGCAAGCGUUGUUCGGAUUUAUUGGGCGUAAAGAGCGUGUAGGCGGCCAGGUAGGUCAGCUGUGAAAACUCGAGGCUCAACCUCGAGACGCCGGUUGAAACCAUCUGGCUAGAGUCCGGAAGAGGAGAGUGGAAUUCCUGGUGUAGCGGUGAAAUGCGCAGAUAUCAGGAAGAACACCCGUGGCGAAGGCGGCUCUCUGGGACGGUACUGACGCUGAGACGCGAAAGCGUGGGGAGCGAACAGG